rnacentral:rRNA from 1 species
GACGAACGCUGGCGGCGUGCCUAACACAUGCAAGUCGAGCGGAGUAUAUUUUUCGAAAUAUGCUUAGCGGCGGACGGGUGAGUAACGCGUGAACAAUCUGCCCUAUACAGAGGAAUAACCUCGGGAAACCGGGAAUAAAACCACAUAACACUUUAGUAUCGCAUGGUACAGAAGUCAAAUUGAAUAAGAGGUAUAGGAUGAGUUCGCGUCUGAUUAGCUAGUUGGGGGGGUAACGGCCCACCAAGGCGACGAUCAGUAGGGGGCGUGAGAGCGUGGCCCCCCACACGGGUACUGAGACACGGACCCGACUCUACGGGAGGCAGCAGUAAGGAAUAUUGGUCAAUGGGGGCGAACCCUGAUCCAGCCAUGCCGCGUGUGUGAAGAAGGCCUCGGUU